rnacentral:rRNA from 1 species
AUGGACGAUGGCGACGGGGACAACGCGGGACGCCGGACUGAAGAGCGGGCGUCGCUCGGCGGCAGGGCCGGCGCUGGUCAUGCCUGCCGGAGGGAGAUCGGGCGCAGGCGUCAGAGACGGGUGCUCGCGGCAGGAGGGGAUCGGGUCGAGGCGCGAUGGAAGGAGGGGCCGGCGCGGGAUCAGGGCAGCAAAGGGAGGAGGGCCAUGGAUCGGGAGGCGUGCGCUCCUCUCUGGUGCGUUGCGUGUGUGGUGGCGGCGCUGAGGAAACGAACGGGAGGAGGAGGGAACGAGAGAAGGGGUGCGCGAUCGGGAUUGGGGAAUCGGUCGGGCUAG